GACGAACGCUGGCNGGCUGCUAACACAUGCAAGUCGAACGCUGAAGCCUAGCUUGCUGGGUGGAUGAGUGGCGAACGGGUGAGUAACACGUGAGUAACCUGCCCUCUUCUUUGGGAUAACGCCCGGAAACGGGUGCUAAUACUGGAUAUUCACUGAUUCUCGCAUGGGGGUUGGUGGAAAGGUUUUUUCUGGUGGGGGAUGGGCUCGCGGCCUAUCAGCUUGUUGGUGGGGUGAUGGCCUACCAAGGCUUUGACGGGUAGCCGGCCUGAGAGGGUGACCGGUCACAUUGGGACUGAGAUACGGCCCAGACUCCUACGGGAGGCAGCAGUGGGGAAUAUUGCACAAUGGGCGAAAGCCUGAUGCAGCGACGCCGCGUGAGGGAUGGAGGCCUUCGGGUUGUAAACCUCUUUCGCUCAUGGUCAAGCCGCAACUUAGGGUUGUGGUGAGGGUAGUGGGUAAAGAAGCGCCGGCUAACUACGUGCCAGCAGCCGCGGUAAUACGUAGGGCGCGAGCGUUGUCCGGAAUUAUUGGGCGUAAAGGGCUUGUAGGCGGUUGGUCGCGUCUGCCGUGAAAUCCUCUGGCUUAACUGGGGGCGUGCGGUGGGUAC
rnacentral:rRNA from 1 species